GCCCGCCUAGCUCAAUCGGAUAGAGCGUCAGACUCUUAAGGCGGGUUGAUCCCCUAGGACGAUCUGAAGGCUGCGAGUUCGACCCUCGCGGUGGGCU